UGGCCCUACGGGGGGCAGCAGUGAGGAAUAUUGGUCAAUGGACGGAAGUCUGAACCAGCCAUGCCGCGUGCAGGAAGACGGCUCUAUGAGUUGUAAACUGCUUUUGUACAAGGGUAAACCUGAAUACGUGUAUUCAGCUGAAAGUACUGUACGAAUAAGGAUCGGCUAACUCCGUGCCAGCAGCCGCGGUAAUACGGAGGAUCCAAGCGUUAUCCGGAUUUAUUGGGUGUAAAGGGUGCGUAGACGGAGAAACAAGUUGGUUGUGAAAUCCCUCGGCUCAACUGAGGAACUGCAACCAAAACUAU
rnacentral:rRNA from 1 species